CUACCCACGAGAAAUAUGGCUUCUGUUGUCCUUAGUAUGCUUCCUGUUUGCCCAGUCUUUUGCUUGUAAUCAAUCUCCUACCCACACAGAUCACCUUCUUUGCCCCAGGCUCACCAAACAAGCUGAUUGGAGCAGCCAAAUCUCCGUCUCAGCCACGACCACAUCAGCUAUACUGGCUGAAUCCUCCAUCCAGAUCGAAGGACCACAUGGCAGGAGCUCCAGGAGAGUCUUAUUUAUAGUGAUGUUUUGGAACCAAAGUCCUCCAUCUCUGGGAUAG
rnacentral:lncRNA from 1 species